CCUACGGGAGGCAGCAGUGGGGAAUAUUGCACAAUGGGGGAAACCCUGAUGCAGCGACGCCGCGUGAGUGAAGAAGUAUUUCGGUAUGUAAAGCUCUAUCAGCAGGGAAGAAAAUGACGGUACCUGACUAAGAAGCCCCGGCUAGCUACGUGCCAGCAGCCGCGGUAAUACGGCGGGGGCAAGCGUUAUCCGGAUUUACUGGGUGUAAAGGGAGCGUAGACGGCCAGACAAGGCAGAAGGGAACGCCGAGGGCUCAACCCUGGGAGGGCUUGUGAUACUGCCGGCCUGGAGUGCAGGAGAGGGAAGCGGAAUGCCUAGUGUAGCGGUGAAAUGCGUAGAUAUUAGGAGGAACACCAGUGGCGAAGGCGGCUUACUGGACAGUAACUGACGUUGAGGCUCGAAGGCGUGGGGAGCAAACGGGAUUAGAUACCCGGGUAGUC
rnacentral:rRNA from 1 species